rnacentral:misc_RNA from 1 species
GCAAACAACAAAAAAGAGAAACACCGACCCCCUUCCCCCCUCCUCCCACACACACCAAAAAAAAAUAAAGGAAGCGAAAGUCAAAAACAAAAAAAAAACAAGCAAAAACACACAAAAGGGGAGUCGAAGAACAAGGCAAAGUUCGACGCUGCACCUCUCCCCCUCUCCCACGCCCCUCUCUACAGCUCGGCCGUGUCAAGUUGGGUAUUGCUUUUUUUUUCUCCCCCUUUUUUGGCUAGGUAACACGUCGCUCCGGCUUGCAAUCAGUUGGUGUAUCAUUGCCGCUCUUGCUGGCUGUGUGUGUACACAGGUGAGCCGGGCGUCAUCGACAGGAGGGAGAAAGCAGAGCGGUUGCGGGUAUGCCCCAGUGAGACGCUGAUUGCGCCCUCCUCCCACACCCUUCACCUCUGCUGCAGUUGCCUCUUUCCCCCCUCUCUCCGACUUCCCACUUUUUGCUUUAAGUGCACACCAGUACACGCGCACUCCCUCCUCCUCCCUCCCCUGCCUCACCCACACAAAGGAGGCUCCUCCCCUCUCUGUCGUGCGUGCCGGUGUAUCUCAACGGACCUUACUUUCUCUGUUGGGCUUUCUGCUUUCUUCACCUUUGCGGUUGCUUUCGCAGCUGUUUUCUGCCCAUCCCUCUCUCUCUGAUCUUUCCUCUCCUCCGUGCUCCCCUUUUCCUUCCUUCUUUCUUGUACUGCUCUUGGUGCUGCUGCGGGUACUGACUGUGGUGGUGCAUCUUGCCUCGUUCUCCGUUUUUUCUUCUUUUUUUUUCUGCAUGUCGUACGAGGGAGAGCGUGGCUACAGAAGCCCACCCAUACAAAUUCGGACCUUUUCUUUGUUUGUUGUACAGCCGUGCCGCGUUUAUGUUUACAGUUUUAUGUAGUUUUUCCUUCUCGUGUUUGUGCGUGUGUGUCUUUCCACUUUUGCUCUCUCUCGCACUUUCUCUGUUUUUCUGAAAGCAGUGUCAAAGACUCUCUCUCACUCCCUCCCUCCCUCUCUCUCUGUGUUGCUAGCUGCUUUCUUCUUUUUUGUUGUCACUUACUUGCUUUCGAGUUUGUGAUUGGUGUCGUUGUCUCAUGUACAUAUCACCCUCUGCAGAGAUACGCCACUGAUGCUUCUCCCCUCCUUUUUUUCGUUCGCGUCCUUCUCGUCCUUCGAUUUGUAUUUUCGCGUCUCCGGGCCUGUCUGCACCCUUUCUGGAGGGGGUGGUGGUGGUGGCACAUCUUACUUCUCUCCUUUUUUUUGGCGCGUGCGUGUGCGAGUGUGUGGUCACAGUGUUCUCUCUUGAUUGUCUCUCUUCGUUUGCUCUGCUGCGCUCGCUUGGUAUUGCCUCCCUCCUCUUCCUCCUCGUCAUCGUCGCCAUUGUUUUUCUUUUGCCUGCACCCCCCCCUUUCCCUCCCUUCCUCCUCGCAACGCCUCAGUGCCUUCCAUCUCGUAACUCUAUUUCUGUACUUCCCCGCCUUCUUUUCCCCUUUUCCUCUCGUCUCUGCCGCUGUCUGCGUUGGCUCCCUUGUUGGAGCUUCAUUCUGUUUCUCUUUUCUUUUGGUGUGUCUUUGUGUGUGUGGGUGCGGGGGGCGUCUGGACUGUGCACAAACUACGUUGCGUGAAUUUUUGCAAGCGUUUUUUUUUCCUUGUGCUGCUGCCGCUCAUCUGUCCCUUGCGCCCUCCAAGAUUAGUCGCUCUCUAUUUCUGUUGCUGGCCAUUGUCUCUGUGGUUGAUUUCACUGCUUCCUUUUCGGCGGCAUCUUUUAUUUUGUUUGUUUGACAAUCACUCACCACCCACCACCCCUUCUUCUUGCUUGUAUGGUUGUCGCCUACUCGUACUUCGCCUGCUGUCACCCCUAUUGCUCGCUGUACGGUAGCGGCCGCUGAUGCUUGCUGGCGCUUCUGCAGUAGAUCUUCUCUGCUUGAUAGAAAGUGCUCUCUCCAUCUCUUAUCUUUCCUGCCGGCGUGUGUGCUUACAGCUCGUUUUUCUUCUGCUGUUCUCAUCGACGUUUUCGGCUUAGAUCUAUAUUGUGUGCUGACACUCUCGAUUCGAUCACCGAUACGCUCGUUUUUUCUGUUAAAAGUCUCUUUUUUCAGCUUUUCCGCGGUAGCGCUGGCGAAGCUUUCCCGUGCGCGAUCUUGACAACGGCGAAGUACACUGUCAUCGCCCCCCUCUUUCCCUCCUUGUCUGCCGCAUUUUCCCUUCGCCUCCACGCUGAUCUUCACAUCAGCGUCUUUUUCUUGUACCUCUUCGAUGUUCUUGAGCUCGCACAUCACCUGCUCUCCCUUUUCGGCUUGUUCAUGUGCUUGCACGUGUGCGCGUACCGUCACAGUCGUCUACUUUUCCCUCUCUCUUGUUGGCGUGACACAUCUUCUUAGCACUUCUUCCUAACAUCAGAUUGUCUUUUGCGCCUGUGCCCACUGAGUACUUUUUUUUUGUGUCUCUUGCGUGUGCGUUUGUGUCGCUCCGUACUUUUCCCUUUUCGCCUUCUGCUGCUGCUCCCGCUCCGCCUCUGCGUGCCGGCGCCUCACCUGUCUGAUCGCCGCCGCUUUCUUUUUUUUUUUCUGUCUGUUUCCUUUAAUUUUUUCCUUUCUUCUCGGUACAUCUCGAUUUGUUGAGGGUUGCUGUGGCCACCAUCAGCGUUGCGGACGGAUAGCAGUCUUGGCACGGCGUGAGGCACGCCAGCUGCCUUUUAGCGUGGCGAAGCGCUCGCAGUAUCCUUCCUACGCACUCUUUGGGGAGCGUUGGGCCCGCUUAGAGCUCCUGAAAGGGACGCUGUCUCCGUAGAGCGAGAUGAGCGACGCCGCAGCAGCAACCGCCGCGGCGGAAGCCGCUACUACCGCCCGCACCGAGAACCCCGUUGCCGUCUGCCCGGCGACCCCGCCUCCGACAAACUGCAUCGGUUCUGUAUGGCUUGGCGUCUACGACCGUGUGAGUCACACGCGCUUUCGCAUCCACAUUGAGGAUCCAGUCUUUCUCUGCAUUCUGAGCAACGCGGUCGUCCCGGCUGCUGAGUCGGACGGCUCGCUGCCCUUUGAGAUCCAGGAGUUUGUGGAGUAUCUGGACGCGUACGAGCGAGAGCGACUGCGGCAAGCGUACGCAGCGCGACGUGGGCCGAACAACAGCGGCGGCGCCGUUGGUAGCGGAAGGUGUGGCGUGCAUGGCGACCCCGCCGCCGCUGCUGCGACGGCAGGAUCGUGUGGCGCGGGAGGUGCAGUAUCAGGCUCCGGUGCCAUCUACAGCGGGGUUUCCGGUAUUCCUUCCAUGUGCUGCCUCAACAGUUGCUCGCCAGCCGGCGGUCCGGUGCCGCGCAAGCUCGAGGAGACGCUGCGGGAGACUCUGAGCGAGAACUCGGACUUCUUUUUCCGCGUGUCGAGUGUGGCGUAUCACCUCGACCCGAACCCGCAAGGCGCCUCAGCGUGCACGUCCGCCUCGGCAAGUGCGGGGUCUGGCGUGAUGGGCAACGCUGGCGUCGGCGCCCGCUCUCCCAGGAGAGGCGAAGGUCUCGCGUCAGCUGCGGCGGGCGGCGUGGCGUCGCUCCUCACUAACACCAUCGCUGCCGCCUCGGCGACAGGGCCGCCGCCAAGGCGCAACUACUCCGUGCACAGCGGCUACAGUGCCGCUUUCCACUUGUGUGGUCGUCUCUUCGCGGACGUCUACCGGGAUCACUGCCGCGCGCUGGCGCAAAAGAUCGCGUCUGGGUUCUCUGGCCUGCGCGUCGAGGACUGCGUGAAGUUCCGCAAGGCGGUGUGGUCCGGCUUUCAUCUGAAGGCGCUCGAGCCUUACCGUUCUGGUGCCCGCUCCGAGUCGAACCUUGAGCUGCGCUGGGUCAGCGAGAAGAUCAAGGAUGACCAGCACCUUUUCCCUUCACGCGGCGUAGCCCCGCAGCAGCAGAGCUCGCAUGUGUCUCGACUCGUCGACGCGACACUGUCUUACGUCGCCAACGCGCGCCUUCGCGGGAGACCCAGUAGCAGCGUUGGCGGCAACGCCAACAGCAGCACCGGUGGCAACGGAGCCGCAGGUGCAGGUGGAGCCGGCGCUGCGGGCAAGGGGGGCGGCGGCGCUGCCGCCCGUGCGACCGUCGGCAGCGUCGCAGAGGAGAACGAGCUGAACACGUUCGGCCUCACGAAGCUGUUGCACAACCCGAGCUGGCAAAAGGACGAUGAGUCGUCCGACUCGUGCCCGAGCUGCGGGCGCGCCUUUAUCAGCCUCUCGCGCCCCCUCGGCACCCGCGCACACCACUGCCGCAGCUGCGGCAUUCGCCUGUGUGUCUUCUGCAUCACAAAGCGGGCCCACUACUCCUUCGCGAAGCUGGCGAAGCCCGGCAGCUCCGACGAGGCGGAGGAGCGCCUCGUCUGCGACACCUGCUACAAGGAAUACGAAACCGUCAGCCAGCUGCACUACCUGGGGGCCCUCUUCGCGUUCGCCGGGCUGGGAUUCAGCGACUUGGUGCUCUGCCGCACCGUGAAUGAGCAGUGGCGCGAGGCGGCAGAGCUGUGCAUCAGCGAGUAUCGACUGCUUCUGCACAACUGCGACGCUGACCUGCACUCUGUCAAGACACCGGUCGGCAUUCUGCUCCAGAACAGCCUCUUUCUCCUUCUCGGGGACGGCCCGACGUCGUCCAUCCCGGUCGUCCAUCACCCGGAGGCGGCCUUGCUGCUGCUGAAGUUCAUUGCAACGGAGAAUCUGUGGGUGCCGGAUGCGUCUUAUUACUUCAUUUGGCGCCUGAGCAGCUCAGUGCUGAAUCGCGCAGAUACGGUUCUGACGAGUCUGCCCAGUCUGUCUUCGUCGGCUGCUUCAGCGGUGGAGUCGAAGCACCACUCGUUUCAGCUGCCGGUGGUGCCCAAUUUCAGCCAUUGGCACCUCUUCUGCACCGCUUUUUGCUCUAAGAUCGGCUCGAGCUACUUUUUUGUGAAGUGUGCGGAGCUACUGUGUGCCGCGCCGACGAAGGUGUACGACGCCUACGUGGCCAGCGCUCUGGAGCGCAUGACGCGCGUGUACCUAAGCACGACGGCGCUGUGGAAGCGCCUGGCAGAGGCGAAUCAAGCCACCGCCGCUUCCUUUGCUGCACGGACGUCGUCGCCGCCUACGACGGCGCCGCUUCCCCUGCCAAUGUUGUCAGACGUGACGGAGGGGCAGGUGGUGACAGUGUGGCUGCUGGAUAUGCUGCACAAGGAUGCACUGGUGCCCGCGCAGCGCCGCCGCUUUCAGCAGUUGCUCGAACAGGUCAUUCCGACCGUGGCAGGCUCGAGCCUUUCCCUGGUGUUCAUCAUGCUCCUGUCGCUGCAGUCCACCUACUCGUACUACGGCUACGACGAGGACCUGUUCGGCCUGUGGCGGACGCGCAUUGUGGCGGAGGUGGGACGCAAGGACCCUGUGGCGCGCGACCGCGUCGUGGCGACACUCGACUUCUUUCACGAGCUCGACCGCUUCUGCGCGCAGUCAUCGGUCGUGAGCCAGACGUCUGUGGUGGGCUGGAUCGUCGCCUACUGCAGACGCUGCACACCCAAGGCACCUGCAUCCGCCACCGGCGCCCCGGGUGAGGCGACCACGCCCUCGGCACGGCGAGGCUAUCACCACUCCUACAUUGAUCUCCCACAUCCGAUACUAAACCCGUUCAAGCCGUACAUUGUGCUCAAGUCGAUUCGUCUCUCUGGCGUCAAGGUGGCGCCGAACGCGGCGAGCAAGCCCACGUGGCUCGCAUUCAGCACUUGGUCAGCCGCCGAGCACCUUGAGCGCGACACGACGACGGCGGCCAAGAACUUUGGUGGACAUACUCUGCCGACAGGGGAGUCACACGCGGAGCGAAGCGGCGAGGGGCGAGAGAAAGGCACCGGAGCGGCACCAACGUAUCCCUCUACCAAAACCUCUGCACCUGUCACGAGCCCGGUGGCCGCAGUGAACGGCGUCUCGCCGGAGUUGCUCCACGACUCUUUGCCGCAGGAAUGCAUGUUCCUCUACAAGCGCGAGAACGUCGAGCGUGAUCAGCUCAUGUGCAUCUCGUCCCGCUUGCUGCAGAUGCUCCUGUCGAGUGAGAUAGGGAACGCGGAGAUGCUGGACUACAGUGUGCUGCCGCUCUCGUGCGACUCGGGGCUUAUUGAGAAGGCGGAGGGGCGCGAGCUGUCGAACCUGGACAAUAUGGACAUCGCCAGCUACGUGCUGCAACGCGGCACGCGAAGCUGCAUCAACUUUCUCGCCUCCGCAAAGUUGUUUCUUCUUUUAAACUACAUUUUCAGCAUCGGCGACCGGCACAAGGGAAACGUGCUGAUCGGCACGAACGGUGCGCUGCUGCACAUAGAUUUCCGCUUUAUCUUUUCUGAGAAAACGUUUGUGGAGAAGCUGGCGCGAUCCACAGUGCGCAUCGACGACGCCUUCCUGGCUGCCGUGGAGCAGUGUCAGCAGCGGCAAUGCCCGUGCUUUGCCGGGCCGUCACCAGCGGCCGCUUCAUCAUAUGCUCGGGGCUGCACUUCACCGCCCGGGUCCCCUGGGAGUGGCGGCUGUGGUUCAUCUGCGAGUCCGACGAAGGCACCCGAGCCCUCGUCCGCCGAGAUCCGCGAGGCUUUUUUCAGCUCCGCGGCGGAGUGGUUCGUGCACGUGCGCCCCUUCGCCGCCGUCUUCUACGAGCUCUGGCUCUACGCCGUGCACCGCCACACAGUCCCGUACAACGACGCCGAGAUGCUGAAUAUGCUGAACACGCUCUUUGACCGUCACGCGUCGCAAACUUCGAGUGCGAGCAAGUUCAGCACGACCAUGAAGGAAUCCGUGAAUGUGUGUCGCCUCAAGGACGUAACGCACUCCAGUGCUGAGGUGCUGCGCACCUUCGCUGACCAGGUGUCGCGGAGAGUAUCGGAGAGCAGCGUGGACGCCAUGAAGAUGAUGGGGAGUAUGUGGAGUAGUUGGUGGUCGCGCGGAGGAUGACGGCAGUGGCGCGCAUGUGUGUCUUCGACGUGGAGAGCGCGUCUGCGCAGCAGAAGAAGGGGGGGGCAUAAAAAGGCUCGGGGGCAUCAGGUUUGAUGCACCAAAGGCUAGGGGACGUGGAGGGGUGGGCACUAUACCGCCGUACCCCUGCUCGUCAUCUGACACCUCUCGGUUGCGUUGCCUUCCCGUGCGCCCGCCUGCAGGGUCGUUUCCACCGUUCCCUUCUCUCGUGGUUGUUUCCUGCGACGUCCCCACGGACUUGCCGCUGAGGCCUGCAGGGGCGAGCGGGACACCCACAACGCCCAACAUCGGCGUUUUCGUUUCCUUCUUUUUUUUUUUUGAAAGGGUAGGGGCUUUGAUGGUGAUGGCGUACACAGACAGACAGACACACACAGACAAACCCCACCUUCGUUGUUUUCCCUCUAUCAAAGACACACACACACACACAUCAUUGCUGCUUCUCCUCUUCUCUCUUGUCUUUGUUCUCUUGGUCUCUCUCUCCUGUGAACCACACGCAGACGCUCUGUGGUGUUCACCUCAGACGAGUGCUGCCGACCAUGCCCUCUUUUGCUUGUGGUCUUGGCCAUCUGGUGGACGAUAUAUACCUCGCUUCAUCUGUUUUUGUCGGCUUCAUCUCCGUAUCAAUGUGUACGUGAAUGUUCAUUCGAAAG